GACGAACGCUGGCGGCGUGCUUAACACAUGCAAGUCGAACGGAAAGGCCCUGCUUUUGUGGGGUGCUCGAGUGGCGAACGGGUGAGUAACACGUGAGUAACCUGCCCUUGACUUUGGGAUAACUUCAGGAAACUGGGGCUAAUACCGGAUAGGAGCUCCUGCUGCAUGGUGGGGGUUGGAAAGUUUCGGCGGUUGGGGAUGGACUCGCGGCUUAUCAGCUUGUUGGUGGGGUAGUGGCUUACCAAGGCUUUGACGGGUAGCCGGCCUGAGAGGGUGACCGGCCACAUUGGGACUGCGAUACGGCCCAGACUCCUACGGGAGGCAGCAGUGGGGAAUAUUGCACAAUGGGCGGAAGCCUGAUGCAGCAACGCCGCGUGCGGGAUGACGGCCUUCGGGUUGUAAACCGCUUUCGCCUGUGACGAAGCGUGAGUGACGGUAAUGGGUAAAGAAGCUCCGGCUAACUACGUG
rnacentral:rRNA from 1 species